GAUGAACGCUAGCGGCAGGCCUAAUACAUGCAAGUCGAACGAGAUCCAAGAGCUUGCUUUUGGUGAAAGUGGCGCACGGGUGCGUAACGCGUAUGCAACCUACCUUAAUCAGGGGGAUAGCCUCUCGAAAGAGAGAUUAACACCGCAUAACAUUAUGAUAUGGCAUCAUAUUAUAAUCGAAUAUUUAUAGGAUUAAGAUGGGCAUGCGUGACAUUAGCUAGUUGGUGAGGUAACGGCUCACCAAGGCUACGAUGUCUAGGGGAUCUGAGAGGAUGACCACCAACACUAGUACUGAGACACGGACCAGACUCCUACGGGAGGCAGCAGUAAGGAAUAUUGGUCAAUGGAGGCAACUCUGAACCAGCCAUGCCGCGUGCAGGAAGACGGCCCUAUGGGUUGUAAACUGCUUUUAUACGGGAAUAAACCUCUCUACGUGUAGGGAGUUGAAUGUACUGUAAGAAUAAGGAUCGGCUAACUCCGUGCCAGCCGCCGCGGUAAGAC
rnacentral:rRNA from 1 species